UGUAUUCACUACUGUAAGUCGCUCUGGAUAAGAGCGUCUGCUAAAUUACUUAAA
rfam:Salmo salar isolate Sally breed double haploid chromosome ssa22, whole genome shotgun sequence.